rnacentral:rRNA from 1 species
GGGCCUACGGGACGCAGCAGUGGGGAAUAUUGGGCAAUGGGCGCAAGCCUGACCCAGCAACGCCGCGUGAAGGAAGAAGGCUUUCGGGUUGUAAACUUCUUUUAUCAGGGACGAAGCAAGUGACGGUACCUGAUGAAUAAGCCACGGCUAACUACGUGCCAGCAGCCGCGGUAAUACGUAGGUGGCAAGCGUUAUCCGGAUUUACUGGGUGUAAAGGGCGUGUAGGCGGGAGUGCAAGUCAGAUGUGAAAACUAUGGGCUCACCCCAUAGCCUGCAUUUGAAACUGUACUUCU